UGGAGGGUGGCAGCUCCUCCACCUGGGCUGUGUCGGUGUGUCCCCUGUGCCAGGGCCAUCCCAGCUGGCCGCUUGCCCCAGGGAGAUCCCAACCGGCCUCCUGCACCCUCUCUGCAGCUCCAGGCACCCCUGUGAAGGUGUUGCAUGGCACCCCUGAAUUCAUGGCUCCAGAAGUGGUCGCCUUUGAGCCUGUGAGCUUCUCCACAGACAUGUGGAGUGUUGGUGUCAUCUGCUACAUCCUGCUGAGUGGGGAGUCGCCCUUCCAGGGGGACACCGACAUGGAGACCCUGAGCAACGUCACAGCUGCCCAGUGGGACUUUGAGGAGGAGACCUUCUCGGAGAUCUCCCAGCAAGCCAAGGACUUCAUCAGCCAACUGCUGCAGAAGGACCCCUGGUAGGGCCUGGGGUGGCUGUGGGCUGCUCAGCUGGAGCUGGGCUGGGUUUUGGAGUGCUGAGGGGAUGGGUGGGGGAAAGCUCUGCCUUGGGUGGAGGGGCACUCUGGGUGAGGGUGGAGGAGCCCCCCGUGACCCCUUGUGUGCUGCAGCCGGCGGCUCCGCAGUGCAGGGGCUCUGCUGCACCCCUGGCUGCAGCAGCCCCAGCCCAGCAGCCCCAGGGUGCUGUCCAAGGAGAGGAUCAGGCGGUUCCUGGCACGGCGCAAGUGGCAGAAAACAGGGAAGGCCCUGCUGGCUCUCAAGAGGCUGGCACUGCUGUCCCAGAGCUCAGAGGGGAAGGCACCAGAGGCUCAGGAUGAGGAAGGCCUGGGCUGCAGCCUGGAGAAGGAACAGCCCUCCAGAGCUCUGCCCCAACGAGGUGCCAACCCCUCAGAGCUGCUGACAGACCAGGAGGAGGAGGAGGAUGGUGGUGGGAGCUUGGCAGCCUCAGGGCAGUGACAGUGUGGCCCCGUCACCCCCAUCCUGGACCACCUGGAGAUGGGGAUGGUGCCCCUCCAGCAGCUCCCACCGUGACCUGGCCAGCCUGGGGCAGACCCAGACCCUGAUGUGGGUGAGCUCUGGGGUCCCUGUGCUGCUGUCCCUGCCAGGCACCUGCCCCCAAUAAAGCACUGAACAACUCUGCA
rnacentral:lncRNA from 1 species